GGAGCGCGCUCUGCCCGGCCAGGAAUGUGGUCAGCGGUCGCCGUUCGCAGCCCCUUAUUUGAGCCUCGAGGCGCCCCCGGGGCGGCGCGAUCUGCAGGGCAGGAGUGUACGGCCAACAGGGAUAAGGUUAAUUUUCCCUCCUCUGCCUUUGAACGUGCGCUGAACUUAGUGACCUGCUUCUGAGUAACUGGGUAGGGAAGGGGAGCAGCAGUAACCAUACAGUGGAGGAACCUGGCAGACGCCUCCCUGACCAAGUGAUCAAGGUUAACCCCACCUGUGGUAAGUCAGUGGCUGUCGUGUGCCCCCAGCAACCUGUGAUGAGGAGGCUCCUGUGGUACCGAAGAGACCUCCAGCCUCGUAACUCUAGAGGAAAACCUCAGACCACCCCAGCUAAAGAACAUGCUACAAAAUACUUGAUCAGGACUCCUCAAAUCGGAAAGGGUCAUGAAAAGCAUGGAAAGACAGAAACAGGCACAGACCAGAGGACACAUGGCGAGGCGGGGUGAAUGCCACAGCGUCACUGGUUGGAUCCUGGAACAGCAGGAGCAUUAGUGGAAAAGCUGGUGGAUCCAAAUAAGGUCUAGAUUUUAGUUAACAGAGAUGUACCCCUGUUGGUGGGUUUUUUUUGUGUUUUUUCUUUGUUUGUUUGUUUGUUUUGACAAAUGUACCCCAGUGGUGUGAGAUGAUAACCUUAGGGGGAAACUGAGACUGGGGUGAGGUUAGGCAGGAACUCUCGGUACUAUCUUUGCAAUUCUUUUGUCAACUGAAAAUUAAUUCCAAAAUUGAAAAAUUCAUUGAAAACAUAUAUGACGUGGUGGAGUUCCCGUCGCGGCUCAGUGGUUAACGAAUCCGACUAGGAACCAUGGGGUUGUGGGUUUGAUCCCUGGCCUCGCUCAGUGGGUUAAGGAUCUGGCGUUGCCAUGAGCUGUGGUACAGGUCACAGAUGCAGCUCAGAUCUGGUGUUGCUGUGGCUGUGGUGUAGGCUGGUGGCUAUAACUCCUAUUAGACCCCUAGCCUGGGACCCUCCAUAUGCCCCAGGUGCGGCCCUAGAAAAGACAAAAAAAAAAAAAAUGUGUGUAUUUAUAUAUAUAUAUUUAUAUUUAUUUUAGGUUAGGGUUAGGGUUAUAUGUAUAACCCUAUGUAUAUAAAAUAUAUAUAACUUGGGAAUUCCCCUUGUGGCUCAGCAGAAAUGGAUCCAAUUAGUAUCCAUGAGGAUGUGGGUUCAAUCCAUGGCCUCACUCAAUGGGUUAAGGAUCUGGUGUUGCUGUGGCUGUAGUGUAGGCCUGCAGCUGCAGCUCCAAUUCCACCCCUAGCCUGGGAACUUCCAUAUGCUGCACGUGCAGCCCUCAAAAGCAAAUAUAUAUUUAUAUUUAUAUAUACAUACAUAUACAUACACACAUAUACACACACACACACAUAUAUAUAUAUAAUAUGACUUCAUGGGUCUUGUAGAUGGCAUAUUUUGGUAAGAAGGUCUUUGUUCAUUUCUGUUGGUGUGCAUAUAUAUGUAUAUAAACAUGUAUAUAAAUAUAUCUACAUAUGUACGUAUCUAUAA
rnacentral:lncRNA from 1 species